GACUCUUAGCGGUGGAUCACUCGGAUUGUGCCUCGAAGAAUGCAGUUAGGUGCGAGAAUUAAUGUGAAUUGCAGGACACAAUGAUCAAUGACACUUGGAACGCACUUGCGGCCCCGGGUUCCUCCCGGGGUAUGCCUGUCUGAGCGUCG
rnacentral:rRNA from 10 species